UACGAAGGGGGCUAGCGUUGCUCGGAAUUACUGGGCGUAAAGCGCACGUAGGCGGAUUGUUAAGUCGGGGGUGAAAUCCUGGAGCUCAACUCCAGAACUGCCUUUGAUACUGAGGAUCUCGAGUUCGGGAGAGGUGAGUGGAACUGCGAGUGUAGAGGUGAAAUUCGUAGAUAUUCGCAAGAACACCAGUGGCGAAGGCGGCUCACUGGCCCGAUACUGACGCUGAGGCACGAAAGCGUGGGGAGCAAACAGG
rnacentral:rRNA from 1 species